rnacentral:rRNA from 1 species
CAUGAUUUCUGGAAUGGUUCAUGGCCGAAAUCUAUAUGGCCCCUGGAUUGGACUGCGGCCGAUCAGGCUGUUGGUGAGGUAAUGGCCCACCAAACCUGUAACCGGUACGGGCUCUGAGAGGAGGAGCCCGGAGAUGGGCACUGAGACAAGGGCCCAGGCCCUAUGGGGCGCAGCAGGCGCGAAAUCUCUGCAAUAGGCGAAAGCUUGACAGGGUUACUCUGAGUGAUUCCCGCUAAGGGGAUCUUUUGGCACCCUUAAAAAUGGUGCAGAAUAAGGGGUGGGCAAGUCUGGUGUCAGCCGCCGCGGUAAUACCAGCACCCCGAGUGGUCGGGACGAUUAUUGGGCCUAAAGCAUCCGUAGCCGGUACUGCAAGUCUUCCGUUAAAUCCACCUGCUUAACAGUUGGGCUGCGGGGGAUACUACAGCGCUAGGAGGCGGGAGAGGCAAGCGGUACUCAAUGGGUAGGGGUAAAAUCCGCUGAUCCAUUGAAGACCACCAGUGGCGAAGGCGGCUUGCCAGAACGCGCUCGACGGUGAGGGAUGAAAGCUGGGGGAGCAAACCGGAUUAGAUACCCGGGUAGUCCCAGCUGUAAACGAUGCAGACUCGGUGAUGGGCUGGCCUUGUGCCAACCCAGUGCCGCAGGGAAGCCGUUAAGUCUGCCGCCUGGGGAGUACGGUCGCAAGACUGAAACUUAA